rnacentral:rRNA from 1 species
UACGUAGGGACCGAGCGUUGUCCGGAAUCAUUGGGCGUAAAGAGCGUGUAGGCGGCUAUUUAAGUCCUGCGUGAAAUCCUGCGGCUCAACCGCAGACGGUCGUGGGAAACUGGAUGGCUAGAGUGCGGGAGAGGGAUGCGGAAUUCCAGGUGUAGCGGUGAAAUGCGUAGAUAUCUGGAGGAACACCGGUGGCGAAGGCGGCAUCCUGGACCAAUACUGACACUGAGGAGCGAAAGCCAGGGGAGCAAACGGG